rnacentral:rRNA from 1 species
GACGAACGCUGGCGGCGUGCUUAACACAUGCAAGUCGAACGAAGAGCGAUGGAAGCUUGCUUCUAUCAAUCUUAGUGGCGAACGGGUGAGUAACGCGUAAUCAACCUGCCCUUCAGAGGGGGACAACAGUUGGAAACGACUGCUAAUACCGCAUACGAUCUGACCUCGGCAUCGAGGAUAGAUGAAAGGUGGCCUCUACAUGUAAGCUAUCACUGAAGGAGGGGAUUGCGUCUGAUUAGCUAGUUGGAGGGGUAACGGCCCACCAAGGCGAUGAUCAGUAGCCGGUCUGAGAGGAUGAACGGCCACAUUGGGACUGAGACACGGCCCAGACUCCUACGGGAGGCAGCAGUGGGGAAUCUUCCGCAAUGGACGAAAGUCUGACGGAGCAACGCCGCGUGAGUGAUGACGGCCUUCGGGUUGUAAAGCUCUGUUAAUCGGGACGAAAGGCCUUUUUGCGAAUAGUGAGAAGGAUUGACGGUACCGGAAUAGAAAGCCACGGCUA